rnacentral:lncRNA from 1 species
CAACGCUACUCGCUGGAAUCCUCUCUAAGAGAGGGAUUGAAGUGCCAGCGAAACUGCUGAUAAAGUUAAUUAAAUUAGGACAGCGAUGGGGUCAUUUUUCUGACACACAUAUGCUGUUUUCUGUCUCGGAAUGGCAGGACUUUGGAGGGACGAUGUGGCAUAAAUCAAUCGAGGGGGAUGAAAAAGAGGAGAAGGAGAUAAAAGCCGUCCGCGAGCUGUGGAAUACUGUGCUAGAGACUUUAAAAGCGAUGAAAGCGGAGCGGGAAGUAGCCUGUGCAGCUGCUCAAAUGUUAGGUCCGGGAGCAGCCGCCUUAAAACCUCAAGGCAAGCCUGGACCUACUGCGCGGUUCUUCGGACUGCCCGGGUAAAGGGAAUGACCGGGUCCACAUGUAAAACUGUUGCUGAAAUUCGAGCUAAUGAGACCCCUGACCCUCCUGGGGAGGGAAAAGAUUUGCCGCUAAACCCCUUACAAAACUCGGAAAAAGCGGAAGCAACUGGUGCUAAGCCAAAACAGAAAAGUAACGCACAUGCGGAAGUGCCUGCUCAGAAAACUCCAGCAGAGGAGGGGCCUGAAACAUCUACGGAUCUCAUGGAUUUGGGAGGAGCAGCGGCUCGGCCUCCGCCCACGGCACCUCCUCCCGCACCUCCGCCUGCCGUGUAUCCACCGCUACCCCCCUCCAGCGACUCCUCUGGUCCGUCAACUCCGCCUCCCGACAAGAGUCGUGAACUGUCCUCAGACACCACAGAAAAAAUGUUACAGACAGUUUUAAGGCGGUUCGAGGAGUUAGACUUACGUGUGGGGAGGAAGGAUGAUAACACGCCUUCAUGGCUAGUGAAUCCCUCAACACCUCCGAGGACUACACGCUGGAGUGGCGUUAUUAGAGACGCUAUAUUAGAAGGACAGUGGGGAGCAGCCGCUAGUCUGGGCGGAACUCCACCUUUUGCAUGUCCUGUCAUACAAGAAAACAAUACUGGAAAAUGGGAACCACAUGAUUGGAAAAUUCUACAACAAGCUCGCACCACCAUCUCAACUUAUGGAGUAAAAUCUGAAGCUACCCGACAAAUUGUCAGCUGGAUUUUUUCUGCGGAUCUGAUGUGUCCAUAUGAUUGCCGUAACCUCAUGAGACUGUUACUCACUCCAACACAAUAUUUGUUGUGGGAGUCCUCCUGGCAACAACGAGCCAUGAAUGAAGC